UACGUAGGGCGCAAGCGUUGUCCGGAAUUAUUGGGCGUAAAGAGCUCGUAGGCGGCUUGUCGCGUCUGCUGUGAAAACCCGGGGCUCAACCCCGGGCCUGCAGUGGGUACGGGCAGGCUAGAGUGCGGUAGGGGAGACUGGAAUUCCUGGUGUAGCGGUGGAAUGCGCAGAUAUCAGGAGGAACACCGAUGGCGAAGGCAGGUCUCUGGGCCGUUACUGACGCUGAGGAG
rnacentral:rRNA from 1 species